GACGAACGCUGGCGGCGUGCUUAACACAUGCAAGUCGAACGGAAAGGCCCUGCUUGCCGGGUGCUCGAGUGGCGAACGGGUGAGUAACACGUGGGUGAUCUGCCCCUUACUUUGGGAUAAGCCUGGGAAACUGGGUCUAAUACUGGAUAGGACCAUGCUGUAGGUGGUGUGGUGGAAAGAUUAGUUUCGGUAAGGGAUGAGCUCGCGGCCUAUCAGCUUGUUGGUGGGGUAAUGGCCUACCAAGGCGUCGACGGGUAGCCGGCCUGAGAGGGUGGACGGCAACAUUAGGACUGAGAUACGGCCCAGACUCCUACGGGAGGCAGCAGUGGGGAAUAUUGCACAAUGGGCGCAAGCCUGAUGCAGCGACGCCGCGUGGGGGAUGACGGCCUUCGGGUUGUAAACUCCUUUCAGCCAUGACGAAGCCCUUGUGGUGACGGUAGUGGUAGAAGAAGCACCGGCUAACUACGUG
rnacentral:rRNA from 1 species